rnacentral:misc_RNA from 1 species
CCAUCUCAUAGUUCCUUGGCAACAUGAACGGCUCAGUAGGCCCCAUUGAAUCAAAAUGGUUACUUGAACGCAAUUGAUUACACUGAGAUAGAACACUAAAUAAGCUCUGAUCUGCAUGAUUUCCAAUGCUCUGGCCAGGGACACUUAAACCAUCAGCAUUAUUCCAGCCGCCACGAACUUGUUGCUCCCCAGAAUACCAGUUCGGAGUUAACAAUACAUCAUUAUUAUUCAAGUGAGAUUGAAGCCGUGCUGCCAUGCGAACAGGAUUAACAUGCCAGUCCUGUAGAUUGACUGGCAGUACAUGUCCUUGUCUUGGAAUUAAGUACGUACUGCCUUCAGAGUAAAUGUCCUCUGACAUAGACUGUUGCAUGUAACUCUCACCCCGUCUCUUUAGCCCCUGGUCCAACGGCAGUGAGGGCUGAAGCUGCCUUUGGAUAUGCCCACUAAAAUGACCAUCUUCAAUCAACACGUUAUUUGGUGAUUGGAAAUCUAACCCCAUUUGUUUUUGUUCACGAUGGUAGGGUAACAGAGAAUGAAGCAACCCACUUCGAUCAUGGUUUGGGUAAGAACUGAAGGAGCCAUCAUCAGAUUGUCUGUGCAUCAAAUUUUUACCAGUGUCAUCCUCACGCAAAUCAGAUUCCAAAUCAAUCAACUGGGGCCGUUGGGCUUCAUUAACUGGAUGUGGGAGUGACAACUCAAUAUUGGAUGUGUAUUCAUGAUUCGUAGUUGAAUCAUAAAAAGAGUGUGGCAUGCUAACUGAUGGCCAAGCAUCUCCACUGGAAGAGAUAGGAAGCCCCUGGCCAAUGGAAGCAUCUGCAUUGUUUGCCUUACCCGAGUACUCAGAUGCAUUUGGAGAAGCAUCAUCUGAUUUGGACGCAGCAUGAUUACUUUCUGAAUCCAUAUCUACAGGGUUGUGAUCAUGGCCACCACUGAGGGAAGAAAUCUGCUGUGGAGACUGAUACUGUGGAGAGUCAGAACCAGAAAGUUCAUUAUCUUCCACAUAAGACUGUUGGUUUCUUAUUCCAUUCUGAUCCUCAAGCAGAACUCUAUCAUGGCUUUCUUUCUCCUCAUCCUCUACAAUGGCUUCAUGUUCUCUUGCUCCUUGAUCAUUCUGAUAGUCAAGAACAGCCUCAUCAUUUAAUUCCUCCUCAUCCUCCGUAUCGGAUUCAUGUUGUCUUACUUCUUGAUCACUCUGAUCCUGAAAAACAGUAUUGUGGUUCAAUUCGUCCUCAUCCUCCAAUCUGUAUUCAUGGUUCACAUGGUUCACGCUCUCCAGUUCCUCCAUUGAAGAUUCCAGUUUUCCUUUAAUGUCUUGCUCCAAAGAUUUGGCGAAUUCAUGUCUCUGUGACUGUCUUUGUCUCCAGUUUUCAUAUGCUGUAGGAAGAUCUUUAUUUGCUAUUUUUAACCAAUGCUCCUGCAACUUCUUCUGUUCCUCCUUCACAAAUUGUUCAUAUGGUUGCACAUGCAGUGUAUCAAGGUUACCUAACACGCGAUUAAGAGACUUAGACUGAAUGCUUUUACCCGAUUGCUUCAUACUCUUUACAAGUUGAUGCUGCUUCUUGCUUAUCUUUAAAUAUGACAUAUAUUUGACGCCAUCUGUGUGGUGGAUAUUACGCUUGUGUAGCCGUACUCCUUUUCUGAAUUUAGCAUCAUCUGAAGCAACCAAUCGCUUUCUACUUUUAUCCUUCUUAAGGCUUUUUUCAUGAGUCCUUCUUUCAAGUUCUCCACCCUUCAUUAUUGAAGAGUUUUGAUUGUCACUGCUACAUGCUUUCUCCUCUGCGAGCAAAGAGCAAGAUUCAGAUGUAGGCACAGCAUCAUCCUCAAGGUCAUGAAAUCUUGACUCAUUUGCAUUUGAUGAAGUUCUUCCGUCUGCAUCCCUUCUUGACCUACUCUUUAUCUUCUGCAGAACUUCCUUUUCAGGAUCCUUACUGCUUUCCCAGGUCUCCUUCAGCUUCUGCAAGUCUUUUAUCAUGUCAUUAUGGUAUUUUUCUAUCUCAGAGUAAUAUGCUUUCUUAUCAGCCCUUAUGCACUGCUCCUGAUGAAUAACAGCAUCAGGGUGAAGAUUUCCUGAACAAAGUGAAGCACCCCAUUUAAGAAAAGGAUUUC